rnacentral:rRNA from 1 species
GACGAACGCUGGCGGCGUGCUUAACACAUGCAAGUCGAACGGAAAGGCCCUGCUUUUGUGGGGUGCUCGAGUGGCGAACGGGUGAGUAACACGUGAGUAACCUGCCCUUGACUUUGGGAUAACUUCAGGAAACUGGGGCUAAUACCGGAUAGGAGCUCCUGCUGCAUGGUGGGGGUUGGAAAGUUUCGGCGGUUGGGGAUGGACUCGCGGCUUAUCAGCUUGUUGGUGGGGUAGUGGCUUACCAAGGCUUUGACGGGUAGCCGGCCUGAGAGGGUGACCGGCGACAUUGGGACUAAGGGACGGCCCAGACUGCAACGGGAGGCAGCAGUGGGGAGUAUUGCACAGUGGGCGGAAGCCUGAUGCAGCAACGCCGCGUGCGGGAUGACGGCCUUCGGGGUGUAAACCGCUUUCGCCUGUGACGAAGCGUGAGUGACGGUAAUGGGUAAAGAAGCACCGGCUAACUACGUG